rnacentral:rRNA from 1 species
CCUACGGGAGGCAGCAGUGAGGAAUAUUGGUCAAUGGACGCAAGUCUGAACCAGCCAUGCCGCGUGCAGGAAGACGGCUCUAUGAGUUGUAAACCGCUUUUGUACGAGGGUAAACGCAGAUACGCGUAUCUGUCUGAAAGUAUCGGACGAAUAAGGAUCGGCUAACUCCGUGCCAGCAGCCGCGGUAAUACGGAGGAUUCAAGCGUUAUCCGGAUUUAUUGGGUUUAAAGGGUGCGUAGGCGGUCGGAUAAGUUAGAGGUGAAAUCCCGAGGCUCAACAUCGGAAUUGCCUUUGAUACUGUUCGGCUAGAGAGUAGUUGCGGUAGGCGGAAUGUAUGGUGUAGCGGUGAAAUGCUUAGAGAUCACACAGAACACCGAUUGCGAAGGCAGCUUACCAAGCUACUUCUGACGUUGAGGCACGAAAGCGUGGGGAGCGAACAGGAUUAGAUACCCCUGUAGUC